rnacentral:miRNA from 3 species
GUCAACACUUGCUGGUUUCC